AUUGAACGCUGGCGGAAUGCUUUACACAUGCAAGUCGAACGGCAGCACGGACUUCGGUCUGGUGGCGAGUGGCGAACGGGUGAGUAAUACAUCGGAACGUGCCCAAUCGUGGGGGAUAACGUAGCGAAAGCUACGCUAAUACCGCAUACGAUCUAAGGAUGAAAGCGGGGGAUCGCAAGACCUCGCGCGAUUGGAGCGGCCGAUGGCAGAUUAGGUAGUUGGUAGGGUAAAGGCCUACCAAGCCGACGAUCUGUAGCUGGUCUGAGAGGAUGAUCAGCCACACUGGGACUGAGACACGGCCCAGACUCCUACGGGAGGCAGCAGUGGGGAAUUUUGGACAAUGGACGCAAGUCUGAUCCAGCCAUUCCGCGUGCAGGAUGAAGGCCCUCGGGUUGUAAACUGCUUUUGUACAGAACGAAAAGGCUCUGGUUAAUACCUAGGGCUCAUGACGGUACUGUAAGAAUAAGCACCGGCUAACUACGUGCCAGCAGCCGCCGUAACAC
rnacentral:rRNA from 1 species